rnacentral:rRNA from 1 species
AAUAGAUACCCUGGUAGUCCACGCCGUAAACGAUGAGUGCUAAGUGUUAGAGGGUUUCCGCCCUUUAGUGCUGAAGUUAACGCAUUAAGCACUCCGCCUGGGGAGUACGGCCGCAAGGCUGAAACUCAAAGGAAUUGACGGGGGCCCGCACAAGCGGUGGAGCAUGUGGUUUAAUUCGAAGCAACGCGAAGAACCUUACCAGGUCUUGACAUCCUCUGAAAACCCUAGAGAUAGGGCUUCUCCUUCGGGAGCAGAGUGACAGGUGGUGCAUGGUUGUCGUCAGCUCGUGUCGUGAGAUGUUGGGUUAAGUCCCGCAACGAGCGCAACCCUUGAUCUUAGUUGCCAUCAUUAAGUUGGGCACUCUAAGGUGACUGCCGGUGACAAACCGGAGGAAGGUGGGGAUGACGUCAAAUCAUCAUGCCCCUUAUGACCUGGGCUACACACGUGCUACAAUGGACGGUACAAAGAGCUGCAAGACCGCGAGGUGGAGCUAAUCUCAUAAAACCGUUCUCAGUUCGGAUUGUAGGCUGCAACG